rnacentral:lncRNA from 1 species
CGGCUUUUCACACCUUUCUCUCCCCAUCGUGAGAGAGGACGUUUGGGGGAGAGAGCGGCCCGGCGGGGUCCCCUCCGAGCGGGUCCCCCUCGACCUUGCAGGGACCCGGGCGGCGCGGGGCUGGGAUUGUGCCGGAUUUCAAGGACACGGGAGAUGAUCGGGACUUUGGGAGCCAACAUCUGCCUGGCUGGUGACGUCAGCAGCCCCGUGUAAUCCUCUUGUACUGAAGGCAGAUGCCUUAUUUGUUUGGCUGGAGAGGCAUUAAUCCCUAAUUCUGGAGCAGCAAGCGAGGGGGAGAGACCGGACCGCUUCUUACCCCCCGACAGCCGCUCGCGGGGUUCUCCUCCUCUUUGCGCUCUGCGGCUCCGGUUGGGCGGAGGACGAGCCAGCCCUCGGCAGGCGCCCGCACGCAGGAGCCGCGCUGCCGAGGGCGGGCCUGAGCCUUCUGCCCGCCUCGCCCCCGGAUGCCCCGGCAAGCGGCGGAACAGCCCCCGGGAAGCCCACCUCGCCGCCGGAGCCCAGCGCAGCGUAGCCCUCUCCCUCCCGGGCCCAGGCCCCCGGCAGCAGUCGAGGUCAGCCCGCACGGUUCGGGGGGUCCGGCCGGGUCGGUGCUCCCGGCGUGCCGGCGGCACAGGGGCACAACGGUCCCGUCCUGAGCGCUGAGAGACGGCCGCAACCGUAACAAUAAGAAU